rnacentral:tRNA from 1 species
GGAAUGCGUGGGCCUGGUGGCCCGGCCGGUCUUCAAAACCGGCUUACGGGCGGAGAAUGUCCGUGGCGGUUCGAUUCCCCCGCAUUCCG